CAGUCGCCGCGGUAAAACGAAGGGUGCAAGCGUUAAUCGGAAUUACUGGGCGUAAAGCGUGCGUAGGCGGUGAGUUAAGUCUGCUGUGAAAUCCCCGGGCUCAACCUGGGAAUGGCAGUGGAUACUGGCUCGCUAGAGUGUGUCAGAGGAUGGUGGAAUUCCCGGUGUAGCGGUGAAAUGCGUAGAGAUCGGGAGGAACAUCAGUGGCGAAGGCGGCCAUCUGGGACAACACUGACGCUGAGGCACGAAAGCGUGGGGAGCAAACAGGAUUAGAUACCCGAGUAGUCCCUGUCUCUUAUAA
rnacentral:rRNA from 1 species